AGAGAUAGAAAGUUACUUCGGUACAUCGGUGACAGGUGGUGCAUGGUUGUCGUCAGCUCGUGUCGUGAGAUGUUGGUUAAGUCCCGCAACGAGCGCAACCCCUAUUGUUAGUUGCCAUCAUUCAGUUGGGCACUCUAGCGAGACUGCCGGUAAUAAACCGGAGGAAGGUGGGGAUGACGUCAAAUCAUCAUGCCCCUUAUGACCUGGGCUACACACGUGCUACAAUGGUUGGUACAACGAGUUGCGAGUCGGUGACGGCGAGCUAAUCUCUUAAAGCCAAUCUCAGUUCGGAUUGUAGGCUGCAACUCGCCUACAUGAAGUCGGAAUCGCUAGUAAUCGUGGAUCAGCACGCCGCGGUGAAUACGUUCCCGGGCCUU
rnacentral:rRNA from 1 species